rnacentral:tRNA from 1 species
GCUUAGGUGUAGCUCAAUUGGUAGAGCAACUGACUUGUAAUCAGUAGGUUGGGGGUUCAAGUCCUCUUGCUUAGGCACCA